GAUGAACGCUAGCGGCAGGCUUAAUACAUGCAAGUCGAGGGGCAGCAGCUUUAUAGCAAUAUAGAGGCUGGCGACCGGCAAACGGGUGCGGAACACGUACACAACCUUCCUUUAAGAGGGGGAUAGCCCAUAGAAAUGUGGAUUAAUACCCCGUGACAUAUCGGUGUGGCAUCACACUGUUAUUAUAGUUUCGACGCCUGAAGAUGGGUGUGCGGCUGAUUAGGUAGUUGGCGGGGUAAAGGCCCACCAAGCCUUCGAUCAGUAGCUGAUGUGAGAGCAUGAUCAGCCACACGGGCACUGAGACACGGGCCCGACUCCUACGGGAGGCAGCAGUAAGGAACAUUGGUCAAUGGACGCAAGUCUGAACCAGCCAUGCCGCGUGAAGGAUGAAGGUCCUCUGGAUUGUAAACUUCUUUUAUAGGGGGCGAAAAAAGGGAAUUCUUUCUCACUUGACAGUACCCUAUGAAUAAGCACCGGCUAACUCCGUGCCAGCAGCCGCCGUAA
rnacentral:rRNA from 1 species